rnacentral:rRNA from 1 species
GAUGAACGCUGGCGGCGUGCCUAAUACAUGCAAGUCGAGCGAACGGACGAGAAGCUUGCUUCUCUGAUGUUAGCGGCGGACGGGUGAGUAACACGUGGAUAACCUACCUAUAAGACUGGUAUAACUUCGGGAAACCGGAGCUAAUACCGGAUAAUAUUUUGAACCGCAUGGUUCAAAAGUGAAAGACGGUCUUGCUGUCACUUAUAGAUGGAUCCGCGCUGCAUUAGCUAGUUGGUAAGGUAACGGCUUACCAAGGCAACGAUGCAUAGACGACCUGAGAGGGUGAUAGGCCACACUGGAACUGAGACACGGUCAAGACUCCUACGGGAGGCAGCAGUAGGGAAUCUUCCGCAAUGGGGGAAAGCCUGACGGAGCAACGGCGAGUGAGUGAUGAAGGUCUUCGGAUCGUAAAACUCUGUUAUUAGGGAAGAACAUAUGUGUAAGUAAAUGUGCACAUCUUGACGGUAACUAAUAAGAAAGCCACGGCUAACUACGUG